UUAGGCUGGGUUUCUGUACACUACUUUGUGACAUCAGCUGAUGUAAGAAGGGCUUUAUAAAUACAUUUGAUUUGAUUUGACAAGGUCAAUUUAGAAUGUGUAAUUUAUCCCGUGGGAGCUUUUGUCCCGAACCCAUUACGGCGUUUUAAGUGCCAAGGUUUUGGUCAUGUUGCAGCAGUGUGUAGGAGGGAGAUUGCUAAAUGGGAGAAGUAUUCAGGGCGGCAUGAGACAAAGGAAUGUGUACUGUCGGUUUUAAAAAGCUGUGUGUGUGUUAGCUGUGGGGGUGCCCAUGGUGUUGGAGAUCGGAGGUGUCCAGUGAGAGAAAGGUAGGUUGAGGUUGCCGGGAUCAGAGUAGUACAGAAGGUGUCAUAUGCUGAGGCAGUGUAGAGAGUAGCAGAGGAAUAUGGAUCUAGGGCGAGAGAUCCUGAGAGGAUUCCUGUGAGUAGGCCGAGUCCAAUAGAGAGUGAUUGGAAUAAUAUUUGUUUCAGUAAGGUCCCUGAAAACUGUCUCCACUUCUUUCCUGUGCAAGAACUACGAGCCAAAUGUCAGAGAAAUUGUGGACUAAUACACAAUGUAUUUGGAGGUUUUACAGGGGCAUAAACGACCGUGGACAUGAACAGCCCAACCCCAGAGACCAAACACUAAACUCUUCCAGAGGAAAUACCACUGUGACAGGGCUUCCUGUGAUGGAGAUAGCCCAGCCUGUGAGGAGGGGACUGGGCUGAGAGAGAGAUGAAACUGCCCUGGAUGAAAUGUAUUACACAGAGCUAUCCCACCACCCACCCACCCGCCCACAAGAUUUUGAUAACCUGCCAACCCACAUCACUGGAUGACUAAAGAUUUGAAGGGGAAAAGACAGCAUCAACAUGUCUUCAGUCAGAUACAACAAUUCAAACUAGUCAUAGACUGUUCUCUCUGCUACCACACGGCAAGUGGUACCGGAGCACCAGUCUAGGUCCAAAAGGCUCUUUAACAGCUUCUACCCCCAAGCCAGUAGACUGCUGAACAACAGCUAAUCAAAUGGCUACCCAGACUGUUUGCAUUGACCCCCUUUUUUACGCUGCUGCAACUCAACUUCUUCAGUUCCCUCACUGAGUCUGUGUGGGUAAAUAAAGAUGUAAUAAUAAAGACCCUGUAUGGCUGUGUUGAUGUUAUGCUAACUAAAAGUAUUCGCAAUGGCAAUUAGAAGGCAAUUAAAUUGUUCCCAACAGAAAACAACAUGUGGAUCCACUUUGAGCACUGCACAUAUCUACAGAAUGCAUCCAAAAGCUGCACUUAAUAAUACUUCACUCACUCAGGCUUUUUUGUUCUCUGUAAAUUACUGCUUUCAGACGUUUGAUCCCAGAAAAUAACCAUCAAUCUUUGUUAAUGGCUGUUGUAUAGGCUAAUACUGUAUGUAUAUAUGCCAUGUUCUAAAUGUCAUCUAAUGUGUAAUAUGUCACAUCUAA